rnacentral:rRNA from 1 species
GUAGGUGGCAAGCGUUGUCCGGAAUUAUUGGGCGUAAAGCGCGCGCAGGUGGUUCUUUAAGUCUGAUGUGAAAGACCCCCGGGCUCAACCGGGGAGGGUCAUUUGAAACUGGGGAACUUGAGUGCAGGAGAGGAAAGUGGAAUUCCACGUGUAGCGGUGAAAUGCGUAGAUAUGUGGAGGAACACCAGUGGCGAAGGCGACUUUCUGGCCUGUAACUGACACUGAGGCGCGAAAGCGUGGGGAGCAAACAGGAUUAGAUACCCUGGUAGUCCACGCCGUAAACGAUGAGUGCUAAGUGUUGGGGGGUUUCCGCCCCUCAGUGCUGCAGCUAACGCAUUAAGCACUCCGCCUGGGGAGUACGGUCGCAAAGACUG